rnacentral:rRNA from 1 species
CCUACGGGAGGCAGCAGUGAGGAAUAUUGGUCAAUGGACGCAAGCCUGACCCAGCCAUGCCGCGUGAAGGAAGACGGCUCUCUGAGUGGUAACCUCCUUUUGUACGGGGGUAAAUCCCGAUAUGUGUCUCGGGUUGAACGCAUCGUACGAAUACGGAUCGUCUAAAUCUAUGCCAGCAGCCGCGGUAAUACGGAGGGUUCAAGCGUUAACCGGAUUUAUUGGGGUUAAAGGGUGCGUAGGCGGGUCGACAAGUUAGAGGUGAAAUCCCUGGGCUAAACUAUGGUACUGCCUGUGAUACUGUCGUGCUAGAGUAUAGUUGAGGUAGGCGGAAUGUAUGGUGUAGCGGUGAAAUGCAUAGAGAUCAAGCAGAACACCGAUUGCGAAGGCGGCUUACCAGACUACGACUGACGCUGAGGCGCGAAAGCGUGGGGAGCAAACAGGAUUAGAUACCCCGGUAGUC